GAUGAACGCUGGCGGCGUGCCUAAUACAUGCAAGUCGAGCGAACGGACGAGAAGCUUGCUUCUCUGAUGUUAGCGGCGGACGGGUGAGUAACACGUGGAUAACCUACCUAUAAGACUGGGAUAACUUCGGGAAACCGUAGCUAAUACCGGAUAAUAUUUUGAACCGCAUGGUUCAAAAGUGAAAGACGGUCUUGCUGUCACUUAUAGAUGGAUCCGCGCUGCAUUAGCUAGUUGGUAAGGUAACGGCUUACCAAGGCAACGAUGCAUAGCUGACCUGAGAGGGUGAUAGGCCACACUGGAACUGAGACACGGUCCAGACUCCUACGGGAGGCAGCAGUAGGGAAUCUUGCACAAUGGGCGAAAGCCUGACGGAGCAACGCCGCGUGAGUGAUGAAGGUCUUCGGAUCGUAAAACUCUGUUAUUAGGGAAGAACAUAUGUGUAAGUAACUGUGCACAUCUUGACGGUACCUAAUCAGAAAGCCACGGCUAACUACGUG
rnacentral:rRNA from 1 species